AUUGAACGCUGGCGGCAGGCCUAACACAUGCAAGUCGAACGCGCGGCGGCCGGGUGAGUAAUGUCUGGGAAACCGCCCGAUGGAGGGGGAUCACUACUGGAAACGGUAGCUAAUACCGCAUACCAUCGGAUGUGCCCAGAUGGGAUUAGCUAGUAGGUGGGGUAAUGGCUCACAUAGGCGACGAUCCCUAGCGGGUCUGAGAGGAUGACCAGCCACACUGGAACUGAGACACGGUCCAGACUCCUACGGGAGGCAGCAGUGGUGAAUAUUGCACAAUGGGCGCAAGCCUGAUGAAGCCAUGCCGCGUGUAUGAAAAAGGCCUUCGGGUUGUAAGGCACAUUCAGGGAUGAGGCGGGACCCGCAGAGGAAGCACCGGCUAACUCCGUGCCAGCCGCCGCGGUAAUAC
rnacentral:rRNA from 1 species